rnacentral:lncRNA from 14 species
CGACUGCCAUCACAGAUGUGACAGCAACCAUGUCUACGAGUGUCCCCUACCUCCCCAACACCUACGGAGACCUCGGCACUGCUGCCCACCACUGACCCCACCACUGCAGCCACUCUCCCUCCCUCCAGCCCUGAAUCCUCUACCCUGGAGAGGUCCAGUACAUUGCUGGGGACCAGCAGUUUCUCAUCAUCCACUAUGCCUCCCGUCACCAAACCAGCACCGACAGUCGCUUCAGCUGAGCCCUUGACAACCCUGGCAGACAGCACAGCCAUCCCCUUUACCAGCACGGACAUGUCCAGCAUCAAUCCCACAUCCAGGACUACCCAUGGCAACUCCAACUCACCCUUGGGGUCGACCCCAGGCACAUCAGCAGUAUCUGGGACACUCAGUGCAGCCACAGGCACGGAGUCCUCUUCCCCUGCUGCCAGCUCAACCCAGACCACAGAGGUUGCCCUCAGCACCUCUGCAGACCUGCCAACAAUGCUGCCUGUCUGUCCCACCACCACAUCCAACACCAGUGCGUCCCACCUCUUUCUGUCACUGCGGCUAACUGUCCCCCUGGACCUGGGCAACACCACAGUGCAGGAGCUGCUGUUGUCCAAGCUCCGCGGGGACUUACAGACAGCGUUUCCGUGUGCCGGCCUGGCAGUAGCAUGGCGAGGGAAGAGGAGGACCUGACUGCUGCUCCUCGCCCAGCCAGCACCCGUGUGGACUGGCAAGCCUUCUGCUGCCAGCUCCUAACUCAUAGCGGUGCAGCCCUUUGCGGUAACCUGUACAGCUCCCCUUGAACCUGGGACCCUCCGUCCUUCACUGUGCAUCCCCACAGGACCCCCAGUGCCUCUCUGUGGGCUGGGGUGCCACUGUCAGUUCCCUCAGCCUGUCUGCAGAGCCUGAGCCCUCCCACCACCCUGCACCAGACCUGGCUCCUGUGAUGAGACUCCCCCUGCCAGCACUGCCAGGGGACCAAGAAGAGAGGACCCUGUGGGGAUGGGCUUUUACAGCUGGGACUGAGCUGGCUCAGCCAUGAAAGCCACCCUGAGGACCAAUGGAUGAGAGGAAGGAGACCUAGAACCCACAGUGCUGCUGUGCCCAGGGUACUUGGGAGUUUGGUGAUGGUGGUCUCUAGGGACUUGCAACCCAGGGAGGAUGCAGUGCCUGAGGUCUUCAGGAGAUGCUUCAUGGCUGCUUUACAUCCAGAGCAGGCCAAUGUGGAGCCUGAGGUGGUUUUGGGAAGGAGGUGGGAGAGGAAAAGAGCCCCCAUCCCACACCAGAGCCCUGUCCCAUUGCCAGCUGAGCUCCUGAGCCAUGCAGUGGGCAAGUGAAGCCAGAGCCUGGCACAGCGGCAAUUUCCAGCUCACCUGUGGUAUUGCUGACAGGAGCACACCCAUGCUAACCAGGCUGAGCAGCAAAGGGAAAUCACAUGUUUUCUGUGGCAAAGAUGACAACUUCUUUUUCCAAGCUGCCUUCCCCAGUUUUCAGCUUCUCUGUCUAGCAGAGGCACCAGCAAGGAAAACUCUGUCCCAAGAGCUUCACAGCAAAGAGACGGGCUGAGGGCUGUUCCCCCUGGCAGGGGCUGCUGCAAACACUCCGAGGAUGGCUCAGUACACUGACAGGCUGGGGGUCCCUGCUUGGGUGUUCUCUGCCCCAUGCCACCCAUGUGCACCAUGUGGCUGUGGAA